GAGGCGGCCAAUGUUAAUGACAGGAUCAUGCUGCCUGAAGUCUAUUUUCUCAUCUGGAUAUUUGCCAUGUCCCCAGAAAUUCUGGCCUCCUAUGUGGAGCAGUCUCCUUCCAUCCUGUCGAUUGCAGAAAGAGAUUCGGCUACAUUCACAUGCACACUGAAGGAUACUAGCUUUGGCAAUAUGUACUGGUAUAGACAGCGACCAGACCGGGAAAUGGAAGCUUUGUUCUUCUCUGCUGGUGAAGGCUCACUUACGAAUUACACAUACGAGUCCUUUCAGGCCAAAAGAUCCAGCGACAAGCUGUUUACUUUGGAACUGAGAGGCGCCGCUGUUUCCCACACGGGCGUCUAUUUCUGUGCGUGUAGUAGCGCACAGUACCACGCUAUCAAAAAUGCGUUUCAGAUUUGA